AACACAGAGAGACCUUGUUAAAAUACAGAUUCUGAUGUGGUAGGGCUGAGUUCAGAAAUUCUGCAUUUCUAUCAAGCUCUCGGGUGACGCC
rnacentral:miRNA from 1 species